UUGCAUUGCAGAUUAGUGGCGGACGGGUGAGUAACGCGUAGAUAACGUGCCCUUUUACUGGGGAUAACUGUUCGAAAGGACAGCUAAUACCGAAUGUGUUCGUGUUUAGUGAUAUAUACGAAUAAAGUGCCGGCAACGGUGCGUGAGAGGAGCGGUCUGCGUCCUAUUAGUUAGUUGGUGGGGUAAUGGCUUACCAAGACGACGAUGGGUAGCUGGUCUGAGAGGAUGAUCAGCCACACUGGGACUGAGAUACGGCCCAGACUCCUACGGGAGGCAGCAGUGAGGAAUUUUGCUCAAUGGGGGAAACCCUGAAGCAGCGACGCCGCGUGGACGAAGAAGGCCUUCGGGUUGUAAAGUCCUGUCAGUAGGGACGAUAAUGACGGUACCUGCUGAGGAAGCUCCGGCUGACUCCGUGCCAGCAGCCGCGGUAAGACGGAGGGAGCAAGCGUUGUCCGGAAUUAUUGGGCGUAAAGCGCCCGUAGGCGGGAGUUUAAGUCCGGGAGUAAAUAAGCAGGCUCAACCUGCUGAUCAUUCCGGAUACUGGACUUCUUGAGGACAGGAGAGGAAAGCGGAAUUCCUAGUGUAGCGGUGAAAUGCGUAGAUAUUAGGAGGAACACCAGUGGCGAAGGCGGCUUUCUGGCCUGAUCCUGACGCUGAGGAGCGAAAGCCAGGGGAGCGAACGGGAUUAGAUACCCCGGUAGUCCUGGCUGUAAACGAUGGAUACUAGGUGGUAGGAGGUAUCAACCCCUUCUGUGCCGCAGCUAACGCAAUAAGUAUCCUGCCUGGGGGAGUACGGCCGCAAGGUUGAAACUCAAAGGGAAUUGACGGGGGCCCGCACAAGCGGUGGAGCCAUGUGGUUUAAUUCGACGA
rnacentral:rRNA from 1 species